AGAAAAGUUCCUGUUUCCACUGCAAGAGGACAAAGAAAGCGACAAAUCUUUGUGUAUCCUGGCACUCAUUUGUUGGGCAGCAAACAAGAUUAUUGAUCCCAUAAAGAUACUAAGCAUGAAGAGGAAACAGAUUCACAGAGAAUACUCCAGGAAAACCACGUCUUUGCCUGUGGGAUGGAUUUAAUGCAUUUUGGAAUGUAAGACCCUCUGUUGGGUUAUCAUGAAACAAUACAAGAUGUUAUAUAAACAGGAUUUAUGAAUAUUGUGUAUUUUACAGCUUUUUAUUCAUACGAUUGGUCAUAUUUAACAAAAGUUAAUUGUGAAAUUAUUAGUGAUUUUUAAAAUAUAAAUAAGUUCCCUGAUACCAACUGCCAGUUAGCUUUGUCAAACUGUUUCUCAUCACUGUUGUAUGUUUCAUGACUAUAAAUCACCUUUCCCAACAAUUCUUAAUCUACAACUGGAAGAAAACACAAUUUCAUAUUAGCUUUAUACACUAGAGAUAUAUGGUGUUGAUCUUUAUGGAUUCCUUCUGUACACUAGAAGCAUAAUGGUCCAAAUUUUGUCAAAAUAACAGCAAUGCUCGAAUGAUGCACAAUGCUGUUAAUACAAAAGACAGCUAGAAGUGUGGGAUAAAGAAGAGUUAUCGAAGAACUGUAAUUCAUCACAUGUUGCAGCCUGAUUUGAUCAUGACAUUGCUGCAUUUCCAUAUUCAUUUUCAGUUGAACUUAGUCACCAAAAGCUGAGUCCAAGUACUCUUGUAACAAUGUGAUUAGGCUCAAUUAGUCAAUCAGUCUCUCUUACUCAAAAAGUGAACAAUUUAAAGUGUGAAGUCUAUUCCUUCAGGGUGUGAAUUAUUUUAGGAGAUUUUAAAUCUCUUAUUUCUUUUUUUCCCUUUCUCCUUUUCUCUUCAAUUUAAUGCCAUCUUUCUUUUCAACUCUUUAUUUCCCUUUCUGUACCUGAUUUGAAUUCAUGCACAUCAAGUCUGACCAUGACUGAGAAUAAAUGAUCGAUUGACAAAGAAAACUUUUUCAUAUCAUUUCUUUGUCCAAUACCUUUUUCUCUCCCAUUUGUGUGAGAAAAUAUGAUUAGCCUUGUUGAUUUACAAUAGUCCUGUAUGUCUAAAUUUUGAAAAUCUUAAAUGCAGUACCGUUUUAUUUUUUAGAUUCUGCUCUUUAGUGAUGUUGGAGAUACUUUGCAUUAUACCAUUAGAAUGAAUUUUUCACAAAAUGUGUUGCAAAUGUUUUUUCUAAUCCAGAGCAAUUCAAUGAAAUGAUGCUGAUAGACCCAAAGAGCUCUAUGUCUGUAAUAAAGAUCGUGUGUG